CUUAAUUAUUAUCCUUUUCUUCAAUAUUAUCUUUAAAUAUUCAAUUCUAUGUUCAGUCACUUUUGUUAUUAUUGUUUUUGUUUCAUAUCCUUAUCGCCAAUUCUCUGUUUUUGGAUUUUUUUAAUUCUGGGUUGGUGUCAUUUUUGUUCUUUCUUUUCAAUAAUUUCUUCAAUCACUGUAUCUUCUGUGAGGGCAGCUAAAAUCUGGGUGUUAUCUCUCUAGCUGUGAGGUAUUUCUGAUUUUGAUUCUGUCCUCUUAUGUGAUUGGCAACCUUAAUGGAAGAGGACUGGGCUGGUGUAUAAUGACUGAAUCCAAGUUGUAAAAUGAUAGGUUAAUUUCUUGGAGAUUAAAAUAUUUAGAAGAUCUAAAAAUUUUUUUUUAUUACUUAGUGAGUGAAUUGAGCUUAAGGGUUUCCACCGUACCAUAUUAGCACUUUAUGGAUGUGAUCCUAGGUUUCUUCGAUCUGCUACAGCAAAGUAAAAUUUUGACUACUAUUUUGUUGCUCCAUUCUCGUGCAAGUUAAAGAUGGUUUAAUACUUCCUAUCUAAUUGUUCUCCUUUCUAUUUCAGUGUUUGCUGUUCAGGUUUAAGCUUAGGAGAGUCUUGAAUCAUGAAGUUUGAAGAAGGGAAUUCAGUGGAAGUCUUAAAAAGGGAACAUAAGCCUUGUGGCUCCUGGUUUCCUGGUAGUAUAAUUUCUGUGUUUGGGGAUUAUUAUAUUGUUAGGUAUGACUCACUUACGGACAGUGAGGGAGAGCCUGUGAUGGAGAAGGUGCAUAAGGAGGAUGUUAGGCCUCAGCCUCCUCUUAAAAGGGGAAAAAGAUGGAUGGUUGGUGAUGUGGCUGAUGUGUUUGAUACUCAAUGUUGGAGGGUUGGGAAAGUUGCAAAGUCUUUGAAGAACAACCUUUUUGUAAUUAAAUUGUUUGGAUCCAUCAAACUCAAAGAAUUUCAUGAAUCCAAUCUAAGGAUUCGGCAGGUCUGGCAUAACAAUAAUUGGUCAGUGAUAGGGAAGGUAAUAUAUAUUUUUUCUCAUGCUUUAUUUUACUCUUAAUUUGCUCUUGUUUAGCUAAAUUAAGCCGAUGAUCUUAAUAUUUUCUUUCAAUUGUUAAGUGCUAUUUUAUAGACUGCUGUAUGUAUAUUCUAUUUUGAUAUGAGCAAUUAAAUUUUUAGCUCCUAGGGGGAACUUUGUUUAUAAUGUUUACAUCGUGUGAAAAAUUUCUGGAGAAAUCCUCGUAACAGUUGUUUUUCUUUGCCUAUUUUGAUGAGUUCCUGUGCAUAUAUUCUCCAUGUGCGUUCUGCAGCACUACAUAUGCAUGUUCUAAAUUUAUGAACUUAAAAGAUUUUUGGUAUUGCAAUAUCUCAUGUCAUUUGCAUAUGUUGGUUUACGUCUUUCGGUCACCAUCACGCCAUUGUAAGUUUUCUUUUGCGACUCUAGUCAUAUUUUUCAUGAUUUAUCAUUUUCAUGAUUCAGUACUCUGUAUAUAAAAACUGUGCUGAUUGGGUUGGGUGAGUCAGUGUCUCUGAUAUCUUUGCAGCUUUCACUGCAGGUUGCUCAAAAUAAAGAAUCUACUAAAAAUUUUAUGCAAAAUAAGUCGAAACUUUCUGGUAGCUUGGUUUGCAGUUCUCCAUUAGAUGAAUUAAUAGUAAAAGAUUCGUGCUUAGGAAAGAGAAAUGAGCAGAGAGGCCUUAAGGAUGGGCACAAUAAUGCAAAAAAGUGUCAUCCUGCAAGAAUGGUAAAUAGAAGCAACAUGUAUUGUCUCGACAGAUCUUCUAAGGACCUAUUUUCUAAAGUGGGAGGAUGCCGCAGGCCUCUCACAGGAAAUCUUCAUUUGUUUAGGAGGGUAGUUGAUGUUUCUUCUCCCGAAGUGAAAGAAGAUGAGAAAUUCAAUGGAGAAUCUUGGGAGAUGGAUGCUGAUAUAGCAAGCGCAACAAGUAACAGGAUAUAUAGUUCUUCUAGGCCUCUUUCAACUGAAGAUAGCGACCAAUGCUCUGUUGCUAGUUGUAGUUCAAAUGAUUUUGCACUCACCCCUAGUCAUUAUUGCAAUAAAGCAUUUGAAAACACAUCCUAUAACUCAGAUGCCGAAUCAUCGUAUCCUUCCUCUUCUGUCAACAUUUUAACUCCAUAUUUUGAACAAAAGUUAGAGGCUGACAUCCAUGAACUAGAGUUUCAUGCUUACAAAUCAACAGUGCAAGCAUUGUAUGCUUCAGGUCCUUUAAGUUGGGAGCAAGAGUCACUUUUAACAAAUCUUCGCCUAUCCCUUCACAUAUCAGACGAGGAACAUCUACUCCAGCUGAGGCACCUGCUAUCCACUCAAGUUCUGUAAUAAUCUAUGCCCUUCAGUUUUUUUCUUCUGUUGCACCCAAUGGCCACUCGGGAACAGGUUCCAGCUAAUCCUCAAACAAUUUAAUAGUUCUUUUCGCAGCCUUUUUAAGAGUACAUGUGUGUAAAUUGUGUGAAGAGGAUUUGAGUUAAUUUUCUCAACGCUCAGUACCUAAGAUAAAUAUCCUUGUCCCAUACAUGUUCCUGAAUUUCAAUCUUUUUGGCUAUGAGUUUGUAUGCAUAAAUAAAUUUUUGGAAUUUUGAUGCACAGAAACUUGUUUUAUUGUAUUAUCAAUAUCUCAUCUCCACCACUCUUGCUCAUUUACAUCAAUAGACUGUUUGUCACUAGGUUUUCUGUCCUGAACAAUCUUCUCCAAAUUUUGCUCAGUCAAUCUUCGUUGUUUCAUGUAUGUACUGAUCCUAAACUCUUGCACUUGUGCACGCACACACACAUAUGAAACAAGGAAGAUUCAGUGUGUGUAUUUUUGAUCAAGGUAUAUUUCAUGAUUUCAUCAAUAUACAGAUGGGAGGGAUUUGGCAACAUUUUCCCACCACUUAUGAUAGUUUUGGGGUGCUUUUGGUACCUCUCACUUCUCAGUAAUAAAGGUUGAGCAUCAAAUGAAAUUAUGAGUAGAAAUGAGGUGAUUUUUAUACGGACCUGAUCAGCUUACAUUGGAGAAAAUUCCGUGGAAGAAUCUUGCAUUAUUGGUUAAUUUAGUUUCAAGGAUUAAUCGAGUCUCCUUCGCCAUUGAAAGAAGUACCUCAUAUUUAUGCAGGCCAAUGGCGGCUGAAGCAAACACGCUAAGCGGAUAUUCCCUUGUAGUCCUGAAAAGCUGAGAAUCUGCUUUUCCUAGAAAAAUUCUAUCAAAUGUACUCCCAAGUGGAAAGCAUCACUAUAAAAAUACACUGCUAACUGCUUUUAAAUCUAGCUUGUUUCCGUGGUGGGUUCAUUUCUGUUGGUUUAAUUGUUUGUUAUUAUAGUUCUGUAAUCAAAAGUAUGUCUUCGUAAAAUCUGUUUUGUUGUUAUUUAUUUAUUGAUUCUAUUGAAUACUGGGCACUGGG
rnacentral:misc_RNA from 1 species